CAGAAUUUGUUGGACCCCAGUGUAACACUUUUAUGGACAGAGAGGAAAUCUUAUCUCAAGGGUCAACAUGUCUUUAUUCCAAGAAAGGGGUGUAUGCCAGAAUCUUUUGAAGAACAGUCUGAAUCUAACAUGGAAAAAUGAGGAAGAACAGCCUUCCAGCUUACAAAUCUAUAUUUUGACAAAGGGGGUGUAUGCCAGAAUCUUUUGAAGAACAGUCAGAAUCUAACAUGGAAAAAUGAGGAAAAACAGCCUUCCUGCUAAUCUAUAUUCUGACAAAGGAUUGAAUCUGUGUUAAAACUUGUCCAAUAUAUAAAGACAAUGGGUGAAAAAGUACAGCUUUGUUCACAGGAACUUAAUACAUCAUCAUAAGAUCAUUUUCCUAAGAUGGGUGAAAUCAACAGUCAAAUACUGACACUUUAAAGAAAAGCAAAAGACAUCUCAGUGCACAUAUAAGUUGUGUUUAAAGAAAACAACAACCACUGUACCCUCAACACCCGGCCUUCACAUAGCAGAACGACACUUAGAGAUGCUUUACUUGGUGCCUGUCUGUCCGUCUGUCACACUUUACAUCUCCAGAACUGUAAGAGACAAAUGCAUGAACCUCCAAAGCUCAAUGCUAAUUUUAAUUUAAAAGCUGGCCACUCUUAGAUUUAUUUAUCUCUUUAAUGAAGCUACAUAGCAGGCUACAUAUACAUUCCUCAAGAAUACAGGUAAGAGAGAAAUUCAGUUCUAAAAUUGCCCUAGGAGUUCUUGGAUUGCAUCAUACUGCUUACAGGCCUUGACAAAAAACAGUGUCUUGAAAAAAAAACUGAAAAUAUUCAGUGAAAAAAUUGAUGAGAGAAAGAUCCACUAGAAAUAUUUUGAAGCCUUUGAGCUGAAAUCUGGACUUAACUGGUAUGUCUUACGAAGUCAUCAGUUGUGUAUAAUAAAUACAAUAAACACUUUAGUACAAUCUUUAGAUAUAAUUUGUAGCUCGCAUACUUCAAUUAUUUCAUGAAAUUUAAGUAAGAAUGAUAAUUUCCUGCUGUCUAGCUAGAUUAAAAACUGUUAUAGUCCAAAUUUGAUAUUGUGAAAUAAUUCAUUUAGAAAAUCGGAUAUGCAUACAUGUGUGUAUACUUGCAUGUAAAUUAAUUGUUAAAGCAAGUUCAAUUUAUCAUUAAGUUGAAAGUUGACUAAUUUUAGUGCAUCUUUUAUGUAAAAGUAUGGAUGAAAACCAUUUGAUUUUUGUACCUUUGAAUGUAUUAAUCAAUUUGUAAAAGCUCUUUUGAUACACUGUUUGAUAUUUUAUAAAAGUUUUUAGCACAUGCAAUCAGUAAAUGUGUCACAAUUUUGAUUUGAUUACUAUUCUGUUUUUAAGAAGUAAAAAAGUGUAAAGUUCCAUGUAGCUUAUACUAGUUUAGUGGCACAUGGUACUGGUAUAUCGUGUAUAUUGAACUGUCAAUGAAAUAAAAGUCUAAAUAGUCAAAACACAGGAUUAGGUAGGGAAUGCACUAUCUUGUAUGGUAAUAAAUGUUAAACUACUACUUUUUUUUUAUUAACAAAGGGUAUGCUUGAGUGACUGUAUUUUAAUAAGCAGUGAAAAUAAAAUAAUUUUUAAGCAUUUGAA